rfam:Trypanosoma brucei brucei strain 927/4 GTTat10.1 chromosome 11 chr11_scaffold01 genomic scaffold, whole genome shotgun sequence.
UGAAUGAUGACUGACAAAACAUCACAGACUUUGAUGACCCCAUGAACAAGAAAAAUUGUCGCCCCAGACUGAUUU